GAUGAACGCUGGCGGCGUGCCUAAUACAUGCAAGUCGAGCGAACAGACGAGGAGCUUGCUCCUCUGACGUUAGCGGCGGACGGGUGAGUAACACGUGGAUAACCUACCUAUAAGACUGGGAUAACUUCGGGAAACCGGAGCUAAUACCGGAUAAUAUAUUGAACCGCAUGGUUCAAUAGUGAAAGACGGUUUUGCUGUCACUUAUAGAUGGAUCCGCGCCUCAUUAGCUAGUUGGUAAGGUAACGGCUUACCAAGGCAACGAUGCGUAGCCGACCUGAGAGGGGGAUCGGCCACACUGGAACUGAGACACGGUCCAGACUCCUACGGGAGGCAGCAGUAGGGAAUCUUCCGCAAUGGGCGAAAGCUUGACGGAGCAACGCCGCGUGAGUGAUGAAGGUCUUCGGAUCGUAAAACUCUGUUAUUAGGGAAGAACAAAUGUGUAAGUAACUAUGCACGUCUUGACGGUACCUAAUCAGAAAGCCACGGCUAACUACGUG
rnacentral:rRNA from 1 species